AGUCAGGAUAGUGGCUUUUGAGCCGGAUAAAAAAAAGAAUACAUUAAUACCUGAACAGAGCGAUGCAAAGGAAAGUGAGUUGGAGCAGUGGUUUCAGGGAUCGAAUCAGCAUGGAACGCAGUUUAGGUAAGGGAUAAAUAGGGAUGUUGUACGAGUGCAUGGAGUGCGCUGUAAGGAUAUCCUUCCGCAGAAGGUGCGAAAAAAGGCGACAGGUUAACCUGCCGCCUUUUUUCUUU
rnacentral:sRNA from 11 species